AGAGUUUGAUCAUGGCUCAGAAUGAACGCUGGCGGCGUGCCUAACACAUAGCAAGUCGAGCGAGAAAGUCUCUUCGGAGAUAGUACAGCGGCGGACGGGUGAGUAACGCGUGAGAAUUUACCCUUUAGUGAAGAAUACCUCUGAGAAAUCAGGGUUAAUACUGCAUACGUCCUACGGGGAGAAAGGUGGCCUCUUUGCUGCCGCUAAAGGAUAAGCUUGCGUACUAUUAGCUAGUUGGUGAGGUAAAGGCUCACCAAGGCGAUGAUGGUUAGCCGGCCUGAGAGGGUGUACGGCCACACUGGAACUUAGACACGGUCCAGACUCCUACGGGAGGCAGCAGUGAGGAAUAUUGCGCAAUGGGCGAAAGCCUGACGCAGCGACGCCGCGUGGAGGAUGAAGGUCUUCGGAUUGUAAACUCCUGUUAAGUGGGAAGAAAGACCUAUUUCUAAUACAGAUAGGGGAUGACGGUACCAUUAGAGAAAGCACCGGCUAACUUCGUG
rnacentral:rRNA from 1 species